UAGCUAUGGCAACAGGAAACCUCCUAUUUCAACACCAGUAGCAAUGCUGGCUGAAUGCAGAGUACGUGUGGACUCUGUGUGGACUCUCACAAUUGCUCUAUUAUAACUGCCCCUCGUAUGAAAGGAAACUGAGGCUUAGAGAGCUGGAAAAACUUGCUAGCAAUACGACACUUCUGCACAAAGGACACAGCCUUGGAAUCGGCUGGCUCUCUCCAACCACCUGGGCCCUGAGCCAGAGGCUCUGGUAGCUUCUUUUCUUAAAAAGCAUAAAGAUUGAUCUGUACCUGUCUGGUCCCAAGUGUGUAUUCAAAGGUUAGCCCUUUGUUUUUUCAUCCUUUCUGUGGAGGGCCCUAGGAAAUUGAUAGGACCCAAGAGAGUCCACAACUCUGAUCAAGCCCCUUCUCAGCUUACUGCUCUGGCAGCUUUUGCUCUAAUUCCAAAGUGCCCGUGGUGCCCUGGGGCCAUAAUAGCCUUCCCUAGAACAGAAAACGAGAUCAGUCUCAGCUAUUGGCUUUCAUAUCCUAUGAGUACACUGGAGGAAAGGACAGGCGCUAGGGACCAGGCACCGCCUUAGGCCUUCAUCUGCAAAUGACAAAUACUUAACCUGACCCUGUCUCUCACACAGAAUAUUUAGGAGGACCCAAGGAGCUUGUUUUAUGAAGAUAAAAGGUCUGGGGAUAUGAGGCAGAGCAGAAGAGGUGAGGAAGCCAAACAGAACAGGAGACAAAAGGAAAGUGGGUAGAAUAGGAUCUUGGACUAGAGAAAGGGUGGAUUCAUCCACCCAGAACCUGCCCAGAUAGGCACAGUUUUAAGGCACAGAAACUCUUCCUCAGACCCUUGUGUGAAAAGCAGGCAGCCCCUCACUCAAGCAACAUGUUGGCUGCACUGCCCCCUGCUGACCUUCAUGUGUAAGAACACAGGCUCUGAACAAACUGAAAACAAUGAACUUGGGUUUCAGAGACCAGACCACAGGUCUACCAAGGAACCUAGGAGGCCUUUCUGCCUACUCGGCCCCAAGGCUGCUUAUUGGGCCUAGUUUACAAUUUCCCUAACACUUCUCCUUCUUCCCAGGGAUCCAGAGAAUCAGCUUCUGUUCCCCUGCAGGCACCAUCUACUCUCUAAGUUGUGGCUAUAACAGGGGACCCAGUCUUCCCAGCUUUUCCAUUGUUUGCAAAGACAAAGCCCACGGGUCGUAAUUUCUUUUCAGAGUUUUAUUGCUAAUCAUGGUGCGGAAGUGGCAGUGGGAAAGGGUGGAGAGGGAUGUAAUACAGAAAAAAUUCAAGCAUACUAUUAAGAAGAAAAAAGAAAGGACUUGCCCAAGGUCACAGAGUUAAUAACAGGGAGCUGGAAUAUGAAUGCAGGCUUUCUGGUUCCAACACUCACCAGCUUAACCUUUAGGCAACAUCGCCCUUACUACAAGUAAUGAGCCUCAUCUUUGCGGCUNNNNNNNNNNNNNNNNNNNNNNNNNNNNNNNNNNNNNGUUUGCCUUUCUGUCACUUGCCAUGUGUGUGAACUUGGACAGUAUACUGAAAUUCUUGAUGCUUCCGUUUCCACAUCCAUAAAAUAGAAAGAAAAAUAGAAUCUACCUUACAUAAUUAUGAUAAAAAUUAAAUAAGAUGAUGCAUAAAUAGCAUGUUGCACAGAGCCUGGCAAUAGCAAGCACUUAAUAAAUGAUAUUUAUUCUUCUAUUUUUAAUUUUUGCUCAACUGUACCAAACACAUUAACUAUUGGAACAAAUCUAAUCUUUUACCCCCGGCUCUGCCGUUAACUCACUAUAUGACUGAGAGGUUACCACUCAUUUGGCUCACAGCAGAAGUCUCUUUCCUAUACUCCACACUCCUCUGU
rnacentral:lncRNA from 1 species